CGGGGGGCGGGGGGAAAUCCAGGACUACAGUACCCAGAAUCCUCAGCAUGAUUUUUUUUUUCCCCUCCCCACCCUCUCCCCCACUCCCUGGACUACCUUACUUGGAAACCCACGGGGCUGCGUACCCAGACUCCACGGAGUAAUUUCCCGCAGAUAUCAUAAACAGAAUUCUACGGCAGCUACAGAACUAAGAUAUCCACAAUCUUCUGCGGGAUUUUUCUCCUGGACUAACAUAGAAUCCUUUGAGGGAUAGCAGGACUACAUGUUCGAACCAUCAAUUUUUCCAACUGGACUACCAUACCCAGAAUCCACCACCGUUCCACAGGACUACUUACCCAGAAUCCUCAGAGUAAUUUUUCCAUGGACUACGAUACCCAGAAUCCUCCACGAGGCGACUAUCAUGACCAGAAUUCUUCCACGACCACAGGACUACAAUACCCAGAAUCCAUGGAGUAAGGGCACUACCAUACCCGGAAUCCACCAGGUAGACGUAGACCUUCAAUACCCAAAAUCUCAGCGAUUAUCCAGAAUCCUUCGGAUGCUUGCCUUGGAGACCACAAUACCGAGAAUUUACAGCGUGCUACUCUAAUAACUAUAGUACCUUAAAUUUUGGGCUUGUUUCCCCAAAGAUUACGGUAUGCUGAAGACUAUGUCACAAUCCUGUCAAAAGCCACAAA